rnacentral:rRNA from 1 species
AAUAUUGCACAAUGGAGGAAACUCUGAUGCAGCGACGCCGCGUGAACGAUGAAGGACUUCGGGUCGUAAAGUACUGUUCUUAGGGAAGAUAAUGACGGUACCCAAGGAGGAAGCCCUGGCCAACUACCUACCAUCAGCCGCGGUAAUACGUAGGGGGCGAGCGUUGUCCGGAAUUAUUGGGCGUAAAGGGUUCGCAGGCGGUCCUUUAAGCCAGAUGUGAAAGCCCACGGCUCAACCGUGGUAAGCAUUUGAAACUGAAGGACUUGAGUUAAGGAGAGGAAAGUGGAAUUCCUAGUGUAGCGGUGAAAUGCGUAGAUAUUAGGAGGAAUACCAGUGGCGAAGGCGACUUUCUGGACUUAUACUGACGCUGAGGAACGAAAGCGUGGGGAGCAAACAG